rnacentral:rRNA from 1 species
CAGAGACUGCAAGCGUUAUUCGGAUUCACUGGGCGUAAAGGGUGCGCAGGCGGCCAUGUGUGUCAGGUGUGAAAUCCCGGGGCUUAACCCCGGAACUGCGCCUGAAACUACAUGGCUAGAGUAUUGGAGAGGGUAGCGGAAUUCACGGUGUAGCAGUGAAAUGCGUAGAUAUCGUGAGGAACACCAGAGGCGAAGGCGGCUACCUGGACAAUUACUGACGCUCAGGCACGAAAGCGUGGGGAGCAAAAGGGAUUAGAUACCCCUGUAGUCCACGCCCUAAACGGUGCACACUAGGUCUUGGCGGAUUCGACCCCACCAGGGCCCAAGCUAACGCGUUAAGUGUGCCGCCUGAGGACUACGGCCGCAAGGCUA